UCUGUCUCCUAGGGAUGGUUUCCCUGAUUCGCAGUAUAAACUUUCCACUGGUGUUGUUGAAUGCAACUGUUGUCAAACGUAAGGCUGAAUUGUGAAAACAGUCGAGUUUGUUCAGAAGAGAUUUGUUAGAUGUUAAAUAUACAAUUGAACCAUAGUCUAGUUUUGAUCGAAUAAGAGUAAGUUUAAUCGUUUGUUGCAAGCUAGAAGAUUUCUAAUAUGAUGGUACCAGCUUAGUGUAUGGUCAAUUUGGAAUAAUUGCUUCUCUAUUAAAAGGGUAAAGAGUAAGAAAAACUGCAUAGUAGCGUCGC